rnacentral:sRNA from 1 species
UAUAAAGGAGCAUCGGCUAAAAUCGCAACGUCCUGUUGCAACGCCGAUGUUCGCACAUCCAUGUGCA